rnacentral:lncRNA from 1 species
CUUAACAUCUCUUAUUUGUCUUACUGCUAAGAUGCAGGUACACAGAAGACCAAUCUAACACUCGAAAGAAAGGAUGAGGGCAACUUAAUCCCUAAGCAAAAACCUUCACAAGAAGAGAGCUCAGCAGGUGUAUGCUUUAGGUGCCAGAUGUGGUUUGGCCGUGUUCUCAUUCAAAUCUCAACUUGAAUUGUAUCUCCCAGAAUUUCCACGUGUUGUGUGUCGGACCCAGGAGGAGCUAAUUAAAUCACGGGGCCGCACUUUCCCCUGCUGUUCUCGUGAUAGUGAAUAAGUCUCACGAGAUCUGAUGCGUUUAUCGGGGGUUUCCGCUUUUGCUUCGUCUCUCAUUUUCUCUUGCUGCCGCGAUGUACGAAGUUCCUUUUGCCUGCCGCGAUGAUUUUGAGGCCUCCCCAGCCAUGUGAAACUGAUUGAAUUCACAGGUCCAUGUUGUAUUUCGUUGUCAUGUCUCCUUGGUUGGCAAUAUAUGAACGUAUCUCAGUCGUGGAAGACAUUGACACUUUUGAAGAGUACAGGCAAAAGAGCCAUAUCCAUUUUCAGAAAUGUCGAAGAUUAUGAAAGAGAAAUACAUGGAAAAUUAUCAAGAAACACUUAUUAACGAUGUAGAAGCUUGUCAUUCUUUCAUUGUUUCAGAAUGUCAGAAAAUCAUAUUUAUUCUGGCUUAUACUG